GUAGAGAGCUGGGCACACGUCAGCAACUUAAUACAUACUUGCUAAUUCAUAUUGUCUCUCUCUCUCUCCUUCUCCGACAGGGGCACCACCAACACUUAAGCCUCCAUCUUCAGGCAAGAAAGUCUGUGAUAUGAAUGAAGGGGAGAGAAGCUUUCCCAGCAGACUAUCCCCAAACAUGUCAUUGACUAAGACGAGGUCACAUGUCUACUCUUGGACCACUUUCUGGCAAAGGGGAAGGCAUUUCCAUUGCUGCCUUGGAUCAUCCCUGUGGCUGAGCACCUUGCUACCAGAAUGAAGAAGAGAGCAUUUGCCAUGGGAAGGCAACCAAUACAACCUGCCAUACUCAUCUUCUGUUUUCUCUCUGGAUUGCCCUCCUACCUCCUCUCCAUCUCCGCCAGGAAGUCUUCCCUGGUUGCCAGGGCCUUGUCCGGCACACCCUCUUCUAAUGUAAUUGAACAUUGUUUAAUUCAAGUUACAUUUCACUUUGCCAAAGAUUUCUCACCUUAUCAUGUCCAGAUCUUAUCUUCUCAACCAGGCUGUGAUAGGUCAUUGCAAGAGUUAUAGCAGCGACUAAUGAAUAAGUACCUACUGUGUGUCAGGCACUGGUCUGAGUGCUUGUUGUAGCCAGCUUCCAAAUGGCUCCCAAUGAUCCAUACCCCCUGGUAUUCAUGCCUUUUUGUAUUCCCCUCCCACAUUAUACCAGGGUUUGUCUACAUGACCAAGAGAAUAUGGCAAAAGUUACGGUAUGUUUCUUCCAAUAUUAGAUCAUAAAAGGCACAUGGAAUCAAAGCUUUUGGUCAACUGCCAACAAGGUACAGAGGCCCAACAGCAAUCAUCGAAUGAACUUGGAAGUGGAUCCUCUCACCCCAGUUGAGCCUUCUGAUGACUGCAGCCCUGGCUGAUGCUUGACUACAACUUCAUCAGAAAUCCUCAUGAAGAUCCAGCACCUUCCAGUUAGCCCAUCUAUGAGAAAACCAAUGCUCCGAUGAGUGCAGUGACUUCCCAUGCCUGUGGAGAGUCUAUGCCUUUGAUUGGAUCCCCAGAGGUGGUUUUCACUUGCCCCCCAUUGCCUAUACCAUGUUGCCUUCCUGGAGUUGGUGGCCUUUGAGCUGGGCCUGGAAGAUUGGGUAGGACUUUAUGAAGUGGGGAUGGAGAGACAAGCUGUGCGAUGGGGAUGAAGAAGAUAACCCAGGUCAGAGGGAACAGCAUAAGCAAAGAUCUUGGCUCAACCAAGAGGCGGACUCACCGUGAUGUGAAUGCAGCUUGAGCAUCCAGGACUCUCCCCAGAUCCAGGGAGGGCCUCAGCGAUGUGUUCACGUUGUCAUAUUUUUAUAAAAUUUGCAAAGGUAAGAUACUUUAACCACAAUCAAAAUUACUAUUUUCUUCCCACUCCAACUUCCCUUGUGUUUCAAUUUUCCUUUAUGUGGGAUAAUUGGAGUGGCCAUGGGCACUUCUGGGAUCUGACCAAGGGGAAGCUGAGUGGGGGACUGAUUUGAGUUGGGUUCACUGGGAUAUGUUUAUGUGGUUUUCUGAAACAGAGGAUAUAUUAAUAUUUAUGUGGUUCUCUGUGUAUAGAUAAAUCAUUGCUAGUAAUCUCUGUGUAGAGAAUAGCUUCUAGGAAUUCUACCCACUGCCCAGCUCACUUGGCAUGGUGAUAUUAAGUUGCCAUAUGCAGAGGUCAUAUCGUGAUAUGAAUGUGUGUCAUGGCACCCAGCCCAGGAAGUAUAUGGGCAGUAGACAAGAAACAGGAGAAACCAGGUUUGAAAUGUACAGAGCCAGAAGCUAGUCUGUGGAAAAUUCUUCUAAUCAUCAGGGGGAGAAAAUGUGUCUCAGAGGUUAAGCAGGGCAGUUAAUAAAAGUAUUACGCAUUUUGGGGGGAUUGUGUGAUGUAUCUGUUUUGAUUUCUUUUCUCAUUAUAGGUAAAUAUAGGUACCUUGUACCUAAUUUUAUAUUCAUAAUUUUGUAUAUUUUUCUUAAAGAGGGCUCCUCAAAUUAUAAAACCUUCAGUUCCCACAAGGUCUACACAUCCAACCUUGGCUCCAUCAUUUAUUUUCUGUGUGAUCUUGGGGAAGUCACUUGUGCUUUCUGAGCCAGUUUCCUCUUCUAUAAAAUGUGAA
rnacentral:lncRNA from 10 species